CGCACAUUGCGCCCCCUGGCAUUCCGGGGGGCAUGCCUGUCCGAGCGUCAUUUCUGCCCUCAAGCACGGCUUGUGUGUUGGGUGUGGUCCCCCCGGGGACCUGCCUGAAAGGCAGUGGCGACGCCCGCCUAGGUCCUCGAGCGUAUGGGGCUUUGUCACCCGCUCGGGAAGGAUCUACGGGCGUUGGUCUUCCAUAUUGUUUUCCACGGUUGACCUCGGAUCAGGUAGGAGUUACCCGCUGAACUUAA
rnacentral:misc_RNA from 1 species